ACGAACGCUGGCGGCGUGCUUAACACAUGCAAGUCGAACGGAAAGGCCCCUUUGGGGGUACUCGAGUGGCGAACGGGUGAGUAACACGUGAGUAACCUGCCCUUGACUUCGGGAUAACUUCAGGAAACUGGGGCUAAUACCGGAUAGGAAUCCUUGCUGCAUGGUGGGGGUUGGAAAGCUUCGGCGGUUUUGGAUAGACUCGCGGCUUAUCAGCUUGUUGGUGGGGUAGUGGCUUACCAAGGCUUUGACGGGUAGCCGGCCUGAGAGGGCGACCGGCCACAUUGGGACUGAGAUACGGCCCAGACUCCUACGGGAGGCAGCAGUGGGGAAUAUUGCACAAUGGGCGGAAGCCUGAUGCAGCAACGCCGCGUGCGGGAUGACGGCCUUCGGGUUGUAAACCGCUUUCAGCAGGGGCGAAGCUUGUGGUGACGGUACCUGCAGAAGAAGCACCGGCUAACUACGUG
rnacentral:rRNA from 1 species